GACGAACGCUGGCGGCGUGCUUAACACAUGCAAGUCGUACGGUAAGGCCCUUUCGGGGGUACACGAGUGGCGAACGGGUGAGUAACACGUGAGUAACCUGCCCACAACUUUUGGAUAACGCUAGGAAACUGGUGCUAAUACUGGAUAUGUGCUCCUGCUGCAUGGUGGGGGUUGGAAAGCUCCGGCGGUUGUGGAUGGACUCGCGGCCUAUCAGCUUGUUGGUGGGGUAGUGGCCUACCAAGGCGGCGACGGGUAGCCGGCCUGAGAGGGUGACCGGCCACAUUGGGACUGAGAUACGGCCCAGACUCCUACGGGAGGCAGCAGUGGGGAAUAUUGCACAAUGGGCGCAAGCCUGAUGCAGCAACGCCGCGUGCGGGAUGACGGCCUUCGGGUUGUAAACCGCUUUCAGCAGGGACGAAGCUUUUUGUGACGGUACCUGCAGAAGAAGCACCGGCUAACUACGUG
rnacentral:rRNA from 1 species